GUUGAACGCUGGCGGCAUGCCUUACACAUGCAAGUCGAACGGCAGCGGACCUUCGGGUGCCGGCGAGUGGCGAACGGGUGAGUAAUAUAUCGGAACGUACCUUUCAGUGGGGGAUAACGUAGCGAAAGUUAACGCUAAUACCGCAUAUUCUGUGAGCAGGAAAGCAGGGGAUCGCAAGACCUUGCGCUGAUUGAGCGGCCGAUAUCAGAUUAGCUAGUUGGUGAGGUAAAGGCUCACCAAGGCGACGAUCUGUAGCGGGUCUGAGAGGAUGAUCCGCCACACUGGAACUGAGACACGGUCCAGACUCCUACGGGAGGCAGCAGU
rnacentral:rRNA from 1 species